UUUUACUUAAAUUGUCCCUAUGCACUUAUUUUUGGACACACAAAUUGGAGGCAAAGAAAUGCAGACUUGGAGAAGUCUGGGGCCACCUUGCUUCCUGCAGGCUCAAGAUCAACCAUGCCACAUAG